UACGUAGGGGGCAAGCGUUACCCGGAAUUACUGGGUGUAAAGGGUGAGUAGGCGGCAUGGUAAGCCAGAUGUGAAAGCCUUGGGCUUAACCCGAGGAUUGCAUUUGGAACUAUCAAGCUAGAGUACAGGAGAGGAAAGCGGAAUUCCUAGUGUAGCGGUGAAAUGCGUAGAUAUUAGGAAGAACACCAGUGGCGAAGGCGGCUUUCUGGACUGAAACUGACGCUGAGGCACGAAAGCGUGGGGAGCGAACAGG
rnacentral:rRNA from 1 species